GUCAGGGAGCAGGAAAGAGAAACCCCCGUCCUUCUGCUAGAAGAUGUCUUAGUUUUAAAUAACCACAAACAUACAGCAAGUCAGCGAACCCUGCACCUUUAACAUGUUGAAGUUACACCCUUUAGAUUAAUGUGAUCUGAAAGACAUGAUGUUAUCCAUUAACUUUAGCUGUGGAUGUGAGCGACAGCCAGUGAAGAGACAGACGACUUAAUGCCGCAGUGUGACCUUUCCUGAUGAACAAAAUGGAGUCGUCUGAACACAGUGCUCAGUUCGUGGACAAGUACAUGCCCCAGCUCAUUCAGAGGGUCACCAUGGUGAUGCCUAUAGCUGAAGACCUACUCUCUCAAAACAUGAUCCAUGAAGAGGUGUACUCCAACAUCAGUGCUGCCAGGACUAAUCAGGACAAAAUGAGGGAGCUCUUUAAAGCCCUCCACUCUGGAGGAACAAAGUGAAAUCUACCUUUCUCUGCAUGCUGAGGGAGCAUGAACCUAAUCUGGUCCAGGACUUGGAAUGCAGUGGCAAACAAAGAGGUGAACAAG